GCUCGGUUAGCUCAGCUGGUUAGAGCGUCGUACUAAUAUCUCCACUGGACAUAUUAAGUAAAUGCGAAGGUCAUGAGUUCAAUCCUCAUACUGAGCA
rnacentral:tRNA from 1 species